rnacentral:rRNA from 1 species
AGAGUUUGAUCAUGGCUCAGGAUGAACGCUGGCUGUAUGCUUUACACAUGCAAGUCGUACGAGAGUUUUUAACUCAAGUGGCGGACGGGUGAGUAACACGUAAGAAUUUGCCUUUAGGAGGGGGAUAACAACUGGAAACGGUUGCUAAUACCCCAUAUGCUUUCGAGUGAAACGGAUUUUUCUGCCUAAAGAGAAGCUUGCGGCUGAUUAGCUUGUUGGUGAGGUAAUGGCUCACCAAGGCGACGAUCAGUAUCUGGUUUGAGAGGACGAUCAGACACACUGGAACUGAGACACGGUCCAGACUCCUACGGGAGGCAGCAGUGGGGAAUUUUCCGCAAUGGGCGAAAGCCUGACGGAGCAAUACAGCGUGAGGGAUGACGGCCUAUGGGUUGUAAACCUCUUUUCUCAGGGAGGAAUCAAUGACGUGUACCUGAGGAAUAAGCAUCGGCUAACUCCGUGCCAGCAGCCGCGGUAAGACGGAGGAUGCAAGUGUUAUCCGGAAUCACUGGGCGUAAAGCGUCUGUAGGUGGUCAAAUAAGUCAACUGUUAAAUCUUGAGGCUCAACCUCAAAAUCGCAGUCGAAACUAUUCGACUAGAGUAUAGUAGGGGUAAAGGGAAUUUCCAGUGGAGCGGUGAAAUGCGUAGAGAUUGGAAAGAACACCGAUGGCGAAGGCACUUUACUGGGCUAUUACUGACACUGAGAGACGAAAGCUAGGGUAGCAAAUGGGAUUAGAUACCCUAGUAGUCC